AUCUUAUGACUCUUUGUAUUAUCCUCUUUGUUUGUAAUUGAAUGAUUUUAGUACUAAGUUUAUUUCCUGCCAUCAAAUCAUACCAGACUCUCUGUAGGAUAAGGCUUUGCCUCAUCUUGGUAACAGCAGCAUGUGAUAAAUGAAGCUUUUGCUGCUCUCUCUAGUGGUGAUGACGUCACAAUCUCUGUGUAAACCAUCCACAGCCUGUUUUUAGGCUGUAUUAUAGUAGACCACCAUUUCAGUGUUACCUGCCAGGUGCCGUGGGACACUAGUAACACACGUCUGCAUGCACCUCGACAGUUUUCAUUACAGUCUUCUAAGUCAUUUUAUGAAAAUUGAUAGUGAGUUCAUGGAUGAACAUACACAAACACCUGCACAGAAACACAAACAAACACAAACUCUCUCUCUCUCUCUCUCUCUCACUCUCUCUCUCUCUCUCUCUCUCUCACACACACACACACACACACUUUACUGACAUGGUACACAUUCUUUGCACACCAAAAAUAAAGUGAGCAGUAAUGAAAAUACACCAAUAAUGGAGUCGAUGAAGGGAGUUAUGCAGAAGCUGGGACUUAGAGUUACUUAAAGGCCCUAUACAGGCUCUCCUUUUGUUGGAGGAGAAAUUUCAAGUGCAAUGUGGUUCUUUAUUUUCUAUCUCUAAAGCACACAGGCUAUGGUGGAAUGUAGGGCUUUGAGCAUGUUUGGAAAGUACAAUCACACUGAAUUAAAUCCUAGGGCUGGAACCCUAUUAAUCUUCUACAGAAUUACAGAGCAGCCUGGAUGAAGACACUCAGCUGAAAAGGUGGACAUCUCAAGACAGGCACUGGACAAUGGCUGAAGACUUGUCUGAAGACUGGAAAUAUUUUGAAAAUUCAGAGAGAAAAAAAAGGACCCUCUGACUACACCGUACUCUAAGGACAGUUUAUGCAGGUUAGGCAUGGCAUGAACUAUUGUCUCAUGUGACAGAUGUCAGCACAAAGUAUCCAAGGUAUUGUAUGCCAAUGGUAGCAUCAACAGAACAAAGCACACAGUGUCAUGAAGACAUAAAUUAUGAGUUUGUGUACCAAGACCCAGGCCUCUUCCAGGUUCUUAGAUAGUAACUGAGAACCUCAAAUACGGUAGUGAUGUGAUAGUGUGGGGGUGAAUCUAGUUACAACUAGCUUCUAUUGUGACACAGAUGACUCUUUUUGUGUCAUGGUCAGCUUAUAAUGAAUGACUAGACCUAAGCAUGAGAAUAACCAAAUACUACAUUGCUUCUCUAGCUGCUGAGCUUUUAAAAGCCCUGGGGUGACAGCAAGCUUUUGUGGACAUACUGGAUUGGUCCUUGUGUACUUUAACUCUCUGAGUCACCUCCACUCUCAGUAAGUUAGUUCAAUUCCAUAAAUUGGAAAUCAGUCACCUGGAAAAAAUACAUUCUCAAUAUGAUCCCAGAUUGGCCAUGGAAAAAGGGUAGCUUGAACUGUCCCACCUAGGUUCUGGGCCUGCACAGGCCUGCUCUCCAACAGAAACCUGUGUUCACAGCUGCAGGCUGCAUUCACUAUGGGUGUCCUUGAGGUUCUUCCCUAAACUGCCUAGAUUAAAAUAAUUUUCAUGCUAACAAUCAAAAAACUCAUUAUGCCAAUCUGGCCAACAGGAAGCUAAUUUCUAUUCUGUAUUUUGUCAGAUGUGCAGAAUACAUAUGGUCAUCAUUGAUAAUAGGUGAAAGAUCUGCUCUAAUAUGGACACUAAGUGGUGCUGGAGGAUGAUCCUGACCCACAAUGAGGAGUGGUAACACCAGAGCCCUGUAGGGAUGGCUGGCAAGCUAACACAUUGAGCAUGCACAGCUCAGUAAAUUUCCUGUGAAUACACAUCUCCUGAGAUCUCUCUAUUUGAUUGGAGGUGAUCCUGUCCACCUAAUACAGUACAUGAUGUGGAAGGACAAAAGCACCUGCAGGAGCUGUGGUGAUGACUCACAGGAUAGAGCAUCUGCUACUCUCUCAGAAGAACCACAUGGACCCUAACAAUUGGGUGCUUCCCACACAAGAAGUCACAUGACCACAGAGUGUCAUUUGUCAAAGAACCAAGAACUUGUUCAAAACUCUACAGAGCAUCCAAUCUAUCACGUGGAUAUGCAAUGAUGAGAUGGUGCUCGGUCUGGACGUUGCUGGUCUUUAUCUUUCUUGUUGAAGUCAACCAAAUAUUUCUGGUUCAGUGCACAAUCAAGAUGUACCUCCUUGCUCUCCUGCUUCAGUGGGACCAACUUCUUCCUACAUGUGUUCUCCAUCAGGAGCUGGCUGAGCAGGUUUCUGGAAAUACAGUCUGCAUAGUAAGAUCAUGCUGGCCCUUUCCCCCAUUCCUACUCCCAAGUACCACUAACUCUACCAGAUCCCAGAUACCCAUGAAGACUUAAUAGAAUUCAUUUCGAUACAUAUAAGGCUGCUGCACAAACCACAAAGAGUAAAUUCCGGGAAGAAUAAAUUGUUUGUUUGGCCCGAGCACCAAUUAGUGUCCACAUCUCUCAAAAAGAACAUGGAUCUACAACUAUCCAUGAAAGCCCAAUGCAUGGGGGCAACAUCAAUUAGUAGUGGGCAAACACCCUCAAAGGAGGUCAGUAGAACCAAGAGAAGGUCAUGCUAACCAUGUGGUCCACACACUGAGUUUUGUAAAACCUGGUAUGACACCAUAGGUCCAGGUCAGCCUAAUAACCUGUUGACUUCAAUCAGUGCUGUUCUAUCUAGAGCCUUCUGAAGAUGCCUAGACAAUCCUGGGAUGAGGAACAGUCUUUUGUGGAACUGAAAACUGAGUCCUAAUGACCCUGGCACACUGAUGUGUAAACAGCACAAGAGAUAGAACCAGAGCUGAAGACCGUCCAAUCCAGAACAAAGAAAGUCAGAAAUGGCCAUUCCACAGGUGAUAGGCUUUCUGACCAGGACUUACCUAGAGAAGGUAAUCUCCUUCUUCAGCUUACAGCUGUUCUCAUGGAUCUCAGUGUUCUCCAUCUCUAAGUUGUGCAGAAUUGACAUGACCGCCUCCUCCAUUCUCUCCAGGUCUUCAUAAUAUGGAUUUGGCCUGAAGUGUGGCCUGGCCCCAAAUGAUAGAAUACAAUGAACAUCAGCAUUUAGGAAUAUAUGAGCUCAGGGUGGGUCCUGUACUACCCCAGUCCUGGAAGGACACCUUCUGAAUUGUACAUAUUGGAUAUUCUUCAGCUUCAGAAACGUGUUUUUCUGCGUCCAGGACACCAGAAUCUCAGCAUCUAGAUGGAGGCUUCCCUGGCUCCCUUUGUUCAAUCAAGAGGAAAUCUGCAGUCAAGCCAGUUAAGCUAUCAAGAGCCUAGGCCACACCUCUCCAUGCUCCCCGACCCCAACACACCCAGAAACCGGUGAUUUCUUUUCUCCUGUUUUGACAAGAGACCACAUAUCAACACAAAAUUAUAAUCUGCACAAGGAAUACAAAUGUACAGACAAUCGUGGCCACAUAGGCAAAGAACUGUGCUGUUGACAGUGGGGCUCCCAGAACAAAGCAUUCACAUGACCAUGAAAGUGUUACAGGUAAAUACUCAGGCUAAGACAUAGACCCCUAGAUUCCAGGUGUGGAGGGAAAUAUAAACAUAUAAAAGUUGUGCAUAUGCAUUUGGAUGUAUGCACACACAGACUCACAGACUGAAACACACCCACAAAAAAAAGAGAAAAGUUAACAGAAUCAGAGAAAGAGAAAAACAAAUAUGGAAACAGAGAGCACUGUGAGAACCAGGAGAAAUGCAUGCACCAUUGCUGUCUCAGAGUGCAAGACACACAGACAAUAACAAACAGGCCUGAGCCUGAGACCUUCUAGUCAAGCAUUGAGAUGAACAGUUUGGGACCAGGCCCCUCAGGCUGCUGCCUGGAUCUUCCAGCACUCAGUCCCCUGCCUAGCAAGUACAGAGACUCACCAUAAACUCACUGCAAUUACAAUCUUGCAAAGCCACCAGCUGUCAAGGGCUUUGCAAAUGCACACUAGACACUCACUCUCCCUGACUUUAUCCCCGAAUUCUUCAUUCAGACCACAAGAUCUGCUUUUCAAUAAAUUGAAGCAGAUGAGUCCAUUUUCCAUCUUGCUCCUCAGGAAGGGUCAAGGUUCUGAAUCUCCUCUAUAUGGGAGGUGAGGUUUAGCACAGGGUGGUUAGGGAGGCACAGCUUUCUAGAACCCAAAACCUUAAUAGGAUAAGAAGAAGGUGACCUUGCAGACCCAGGAAUGAAACAAGAGCAUUUGGAGCAGUUCAUACCUGUUCUUCAUGGAUCUCUCUGUCAGAAACCUCAGGCGAUCUCUCAGGUCAUUUCUCUCCUCGGUAAUGAGCUGCAGCUCUUUAAUCAGCUUCUCCUUUUCCUUCUUGGCCUGAUUCUCGCUUAGUUCAGUGCCAGGGGAUGAUGUUUCUCUCCCAGCGUCUGUAGGUAGAAGAACACAAGUGAACCUGCAUGGGGAGAAUGCAUAGAGUGUACAUAGACCACAGUUAGGCCUAAACAGGAGAACAAGCCUGGAACCCAGUGUCACUGCUAGGCGAUUGGUCUAUGCUUAAGAGGCCUCAUCAGUGGAUCUCAGUUCUCCCACUACUCUAUCGAGACCAAGAGAUGUAAGCAGCCAGGUGUUCCCUAUUCCGGACAUCAGGUGCUUACAUGGACCACGGAGAUGGCUUCUCCAGGAUUAUCAUCAGCUGAACAGGGUACAGCUUGGUUUCAGGACCCUCACCCCUGUGGGUUCGAACUCAGAUGAUAAAUUCACCACCCACAAGACUUGAGUGAUUGGAGACACUCAGAUGUCCUACCCUGAUACUCUAGGCCAACAACUUUGGAUUAAAAACACAUUUCCAUGGAGGACAUGGUCAACAGACUUAUCAGUUCCCCUAUUUGAAAUACCAAAUGCCCGAGAAGUUCCAAUAGGUUACAGGAUGAAUCUUGGUCCACAUGUUCCAAAUACUUUUGGUAUUUUAGAAACAUGUUUGUAACACACAACCUCUAAUAUAUAAAGCUAACGAUGACCCUGCCAGUUAGAAGAAAUCAGAGGAGGUCUAAGAACAUAAGGUUAUUGCCUGGAGCACAAUUCUCCCCCUGUUCCUACUGUCAGAUAUCCACUGUAUUUAAAGAAGCAAUGAUAGUGAAGUACAUUGCUGCCCUGUCUAACACAGAAAAGGAGGACCCUCCAUGACUCCUGAUGGUGUUAUUAUACAAUGUAACAUAACAAAUGCACUGUAAAAGUAAAGACCAGAAGUUCACAGAAUAAUAGCAUUGGCCUUACCAUAUCCUCCCAGUGGGGAUGGGGAAACUAAAGUUCUGAAAUCCUGACUUUCAGGAAUUGUGAUAUUCAUGGAAAUUCAAUUCCUUUUCAGAUGCUCCAGUUGUUGUGGCCCAUUGCUAGAAAGGUCAGCUUAAGCCUGCAGCCCCCCUGGCAGGAAGCUCAAAAUACACUGCCCAGAACUUACUCAACAUUCCCCAGAAGUGCUGUCUUUGUCCAUCAUUACUUUGAGACGAAAGGCUAGACUCCUUCACUUUAGUCUCUCCAGAAUCGACAUUCCCCCUCCGAAAAUGCUUGCGAAGACGGGAAAACAUGUCUUAGCUUGUAACCGCCAGACUCAGACUGAGAGAAACUAGGGCACUGGUCGUCACUACAACACUGGUGACAUCACAGAGGAUGCCAGAACUCUCUAGGAGACAAUAGAAUGUCCAAGAAGGGACAGCUGAUGUCAUGGGGAGCAGACUUUGCCUCCCUGGUAAUGUUCUCCCUGUACUGAGCAUAAGCUGAGGUGCCCUUUCCAGGAGACUUUCCUGGGGCAGAGCCACUGAGCAUCUCCUGCUUCCAAAGCCAAAUUUUCCUCAAGGCUUGAUUAUAAAAACCUUAGUAAUUCUUAUGCAUCUAAAUGAAUGUUUCCUUCCAUAUCUUGCCCCAAAAUGUCUCAUCCUAACUCAAAUUGUCCUCAUUCACCAAUGUUAGCCAUUAAAACUUCCGGAGAUUUCACACCAGAUUGAAUAUGCAGUCAAAAGUUCUCCUGUCUCAUUAUGUACAGGUGCUUUAUAUCACAUCAAGAAGUAGUCUGCAUGGUAGGUUACAACAUGCGUGUGUGUUAGGGGAACACUCAUGAAGUCAUGUGCUUAGCAAUUGACAAUUGCCAGAAAAUUCCUUAGUUGAAAGAGUUGAAGUCUUUAUGGUGCUAGGAACAGUGUGGAGACCAGUUGGCAGAGGAAAGUGCAAUAUUGGAGCCACCAAUAAAGGGAACCUCAUGCUGCUUGUGGGGUUCUCAUCUCUGCGCUAAUGUCGCCAAAGGAGCACUGCUGACAGGCCUUCUAUCAGAAGCUGAGCUUCUAUCAAAAAAAUAAAAUAGUCAAGAGAUAUAGGGGGUGCAGAUAAAGGUGUAGGACGAGGCUAUACACAUCACUACGUGGAUAGAGCAAGGACCCAGCACUUGUGCUCUGGGUCAUGGGCUUCCCCACAAACACAAAAGUAUCUGUCACAGUAAAAAAAUGGAUACUGUAUUGAGUGCACACACCAACACUGAUUGAUCAGAUCCAUACCCCAGAUUUUGGGGGCAGAUCCAUGGCCCCAAAUAUCUUCCUCUCAACUUAUACAGCAACAAAUAAGAAAGAAAGAAAAAAGUCAAAAAAAAAAGCUCAAGCUUCUCAUAUGAGGAUUGCAGGAAGUGUGAUCUGGUGGUCAGUUCUGAUUAGGCCAUUUUAGAUAGAACAGUGCACAGUGAUGCUUAAUGUGAUGGGUCCUAUAUAAAGCUUUCUGCAAUAUUGGAAUUUUUACAAGCCUCAUCCAGAACAUACAGAACAGGAAAGGAUGUGAUCACCAUGUCCUUGCUCUCUAUCAGGUUAUUUUUCUGUGUCCGUGAUUGUCAGGCAUAGACAGCAACAAUCUGAAAUAGCUGGUAGACAUGGAACAAAGUGGCUAUAACAAAACUAUAGUUGUGGGUUACACACCUCAACUGUCAAAGGCUAAUGCUGUCCUCACAGUCCCUGGAGGCCACUCUUGUAAGACUGUCUACUGGAAAGUAGAAGCAGGUUUAUCUGAGCUCAAAGUGAACCUGGCCAGCUAGGAAGAGGGCAACAUGGGAUACUUGAGACCCUGUCUAAACCAGCACAGAAACCCACCCUGCAUUCAAAGCAUCAUCCACCAAUUCUCGAUUAUCUACCAUUCUCUCCCUACCAGUCUUUCAGACUGGAACUGUAGAAAAGAACUGGAAAUGAUCUUCCUAUUCUGAAGACCUUGAUCUCUCUUACCUUAGGUGUACAUUAAGAACUCAUGCAAAUGGGUAUGACCAUCUGAACAUCUUAGUAUCACCUACUCAGUAUAUCUAGCAUAAUACUGUGCCUAUGGCAAUCUCAAGUUUCCUUGAGUUUCGCUGACCCAGCAAGAAGUAUGAAGUACUGAGGUCAAACCCCAGUGAUCCUUUCAAGGGUUUAGAAGAAAGCCAUCAGAGAAACUCCACUUCUUUGUCCUUAGAUUAAAUCAAGCUGAUACAAUGUGAACCUGGUGGGCUAUUUAACCAUGCAUCUUUCUGCCAUCCCCACCUUUCUGAAUUCAGUCCAUGUGAACCUGCAUGGGGAGAAUGCAUAGAGUGUAUGUACAUAGACCACAAUGAGGCCUAAACAGGACAACAAGCCUGGAAUCCAGUGUCACUGCAAGGAGUUUGGUCUAUGCUUAAGAGACCUCCUCAGUGGGUCUCAGUUCUCCCACUACUCUAUAGAGACCAAGAGAUGUAAGCAGCCAAGUGUUCCCUAUGCCUGCUGACACACGCAAUAAAUGCAGUAAAUUUUAAUUUUUGUUCAGUUGUUCAGUAACUUACAUAUUGCUGUGGAAGUGAUGGGGUUUCGUGAUCAGCAUUGCAUUUAACAAUGCAUAACCAAUCAUCCCUCCUAGAAUGACUGUAUAUAGAGAAAGAAAAUUUAUUAGAAUGGUGUAUAGGCUGUGGUACAGCUAAUUCAACAAGGAAUGGAAGGUCCAAAUUGCAGUAGUUGCCCCUGUUGAAGCCAAUCCCCCUAGCAUAGCUGUAGCCAUUUUGUUCCAUGCCUGCCAGAUAGUUCAUAUUCUUGCUGUACUAUGUCUGUCUGUCAUGAUUGUCUGAAAAUAAUUUAACUCAGAGCAGGGUCAGGAAUGAUCACAUAACUUGUGUAUGUUUUUUUUUAUUGGUUAUUUUGUUUAUUUGCAUUUCAAAUGUUAACCCCCUUUCCAGUUUCCCCUACAAUAACCCUGCAUUCCACCCCCUUCCCCAGCCUCCUCGAGGGUGCUCCCCCACCCACCCAUUCCGGAACCACUGGAAGGAAGUUCUUUAUGUUGUGAGGUUUCUUAAUCUUAAAUUUCAUAAUUAUAAGCUUCAUGUAGGACCAAUAAAAUUAAAGGUCAAUAUGAGGGCUGCAGUGAUGGCUCCAUGGUUAAGAGCACUGACUGCUCUUCCGGAGGUCCUGAGUUCAAAUCCCAGCAACCACGUGGUGGCUCACAACCAUCUGUAAUGAGACCUGAUGCCCUCUUCUGGUGUGUCUGCAGACAGCUACAGUGUACUUAUAUAUAAAUAAAUAAAUCUUUAAACAGAUAAAAA